rnacentral:sRNA from 2 species
CAUCAGGCAGGAUAAUAACGGUCAUGUGAUUGAUAUACUAGCCCUACUUUGUUUUGAUUUAACUAGAAAUUCUAUGGGAAACUCGGCUCUACAAACUGGAUCCGUCGAGGGUACUUGUAAGGGGCAGUUUGCUUUUUACAAAACUCCUGAAGCUCAGUUACCAGGGAAUCAGGAUUGCGUGACUUGAAACUGUCUUGCAAAACAAUGAAGGCUUUGACAACCUCGACACGAUCGGGAUCUGGGGACGCCACUACAGCGGAUUCAACAACUGCAGGGUGCUUCUUGAGGACGGACUCGACUUCAAAUGGACCUGAAAGAAUAUCAAUAUCGCCGUUGUUGUUCCAUACCAAUCUGGCCGCAGGGACUCGCGACUCACCAAUCCUGUACCCGGAUGAGUUUAUAACAUCAUCUGACCGACCGACAAACCAAAGGUAACCAUCUUCAUCCUUAUAAGCUCUAUCUCCUGUGAGAUACCAAUAACAGCUUUUCCAUUUCCGUUGGGGCAAUGUAACUUUUCCAUCUGGACUCAGAUAACCGGAAAAGAUAUUAAUGGUUCUAACGCCAGAGCUUGUCGUUGUUGCAAUGGCAAUUUCACCCUCCUGGAAUGAUGGGGAUUCAUCGCCUUUCUCGUCCACAACAGUCAAGGGCACACCAGGGACCGGGAGGCCCAUUGACCCAUACUUGACCUUGGCCCCUUUCAAAUUUCCGCAAACAAGAGUAGUUUCAGUUUGGCCGUACCCAUCACGAAUUUUUAUGCCACUCAUAUCUUCCCAGAUGCGAAUUACCUCGUCGUUCAGCGGCUCUCCUGCCCCAACACAUUGCUCCAGCGCCAAUGGAGGCCUUUGGGAAAAGUACUUGCGCCUUGAGGGAAGCACAAACUGCCGAUAAGCGGUGGGAGGGGAGCAAAGGGUGGUAAUGGGAUAGUUGUGCAGAUUAUCAAGAGCACUCUCGGCAUUGAAAGGGCCGACGGUCUCUUGGACAAAGAGAGCUGCUCCACAACUCCAAGCAGCGAACCAUGCCCAUGCUGCCUUCGCCCAACCUGGCAAUUUGAAUUAUAUUAGAUGGUGGUUUUUGCAUUUGUUAUGUUCAUGGAUAUUCACACCUUGCUCAGAAAGAUUCCAAUAUAACUUUCCAGGUUCUAACCCAAGCCACAGGCUACCAGUCAAAACGUGUGCUUCGAAGAAAACAUUUAGUUCAAGUGCCAUAUAACCUGAAAUUUACAGAAAGAGGUCAAACCUAAAGGGUAAGAAACCUGAUUAUGCAGAACCAUUUUCGGCAUACCGGUUGUACCUAUUUGGGGAAGGUCAGUCCGAACGGGCGUACUAUUGUUUGAAAAUAUUCUAGUAAUAUCAUCCUACCCGACGUAAAAUAAAUGACGGAUGGGUCCGACCAUUUAGUUUUCGGUAACGUAUCUUUAAAGACAAAGUGCUUCGGUAUCUUCUCCAGCUCA